AUGGCAUGGUACUCAUCCUCUUCGCCGUUGCCGCAAAUAUUACAGAUGGCAUCCAGCUCAAUAGUCCUUCUAAACUUGUUUCUCUUUGUUGCCAGAGUAUUAGCAGCGACCCUCCAUCCAAAAAUCCGGACUUUUUGUGGUACCUUAGCUUUCCAAAUCAGAUCCCAGAUAGAUCAAUCAUCUAAAAAGUUUUCUAUCUUCAUUCAAAAGAAUUUGUUAUUUUGGACAACUAUUAGAUCGUUAAUUUCUGUCAAAGAUUUGGUAGGUGACACUAUAUUGUUCAGGCUCGGACUAAUGUUACAGCAUGUAUAUGUAAUGUGUGUGUUUUCACUCAGAGUAAUGUCUAACAAUUGGUGUUUAAUAAAACACAUGAAAAAACUAAAGAGUUUUCUAUCUUCAUUCAAAAGAAUUUCUUAA
rnacentral:rRNA from 1 species